rnacentral:rRNA from 11 species
AAAGGUUCUCCAUAAACUUAUCUUAACACUAAUAAUAAAAUCAUAGUUAAAUUGUUCACUAAAGGAUUAACCCUAAUUCUAGUCCAUAAAUAUAUCUCAUGUACUGUAUUAUCAUUUAUCACUCAAUAAUACAAAAACCCUAGUUGCCCCCAUGGAUGUAGGUUUCACACCGCGGCCAUAAAAUCUAGGGCUGGCAUAUCAAGUCAGACACGACCUGUUAAGACACGGACAACAAACAGGUACACACGAUCACAACACAAAAUCUCGGUGGAGCGUGAAAUGCGCAGAGAUCGGAAAGAACACCAACGGCGAAAGCACUCUGCUGGGCCGACACUGACACUGAGAGACGAAAGCUAGGGGAGCGAAUGGGAUUAGAUACCCCAGUAGUCCUAGCCGUAAACGAUGGAUACUAGGCGUUGUGCGUAUCGACCCGUGCAAUGCUGUAGCUAACGCGUUAAGUAUCCCGCCU